UACGAAGGGUGCAAACGUUGCUCGGAAUUAUUGGGCGUAAAGCGCACGUAGGCGGCUUAGCAAGUCGGAUGUGAAAUCCCUCGGCUCAACCAAGGAAGUGCAUCCGAAACUGCUGAGCUUGAGUACGAAUGAGGAUCGCGGAAUUCCCGGUGUAGAGGUGAAAUUCGUAGAUAUCGGGAGGAACACCAGUGGCGAAGGCGGCGAUCUGGGUCGAUACUGACGCUGAGGUGCGAAAGCGUGGGGAGCAAACAGG
rnacentral:rRNA from 1 species